rnacentral:rRNA from 1 species
UACAGAGGGUGCAAGCGUUGUUCGGAAUUAUUGGGCGUAAAGGGCGCGUAGGCGGUUCGGCAAGUCUCUAGUGAAAUCUCAGGGCUCAACUCUGAGUCUGCUGGGGAAACUGCCGGGCUUGAGUGUGGGAGAGGAGAGUGGAAUUCCUGGUGUAGCGGUGAAAUGCGCAGAUAUCAGGAGGAACACCGGUGGCGAAGGCGGGUCUCUGGGCCGUAACUGACGCUGAGGAGCGAAAGCGUGGGGAGCGAACAGG